rnacentral:rRNA from 1 species
GACGAACGCUGGCGGCGUGCUUAACACAUGCCAGUCGAACGGUGAAGCGCCUUCCUUUUUGGUGGGUGUGGAUGAGUGGCGAACGGGUGAGUAACACGUGAGUAACCUGCCCCCUUCUUCUGGAUAACCGCAUGAAAGUGUGGCUAAUACGGGAUAUUCUGGGUCUGUCGCAUGAUGGGUCUGGGAAAGAUAUUGUUUCGGUGGGGGAUGGGCUCGCGGCCUAUCAGCUUGUUGGUGGGGUGAUGGCCUACCAAGGCGGUGACGGGUAGCCGGCCUGGGAGGGUGGACGGUCACACAGGGUGUGAGGCACGGCCCAGACUCCGACGGGAGGCAGCAGUGGGGAAUAUUGCACAGUGGGCGCAAGCCUGAUGCAGCGACGCCGCGUGAGGGAUGGAGGCCUUCGGGUUGUGAACCUCUUUCGCCAGUGAAGCAGGCCUGCCUCGUUUGUGGGUGGGUUGACGGUAGCUGGAUAAGAAGCGCCGGCUAACUACGUG